rnacentral:rRNA from 1 species
UACGUAGGGGGCGAGCGUUAUCCGGAUUUACUGGGUGUAAAGGGAGCGUAGACGGCGUCGCAAGUCUGAAGUGAAAGCCCGUGGCUCAACUGCGGAACCGCUUUGGAAACUGCGAGGCUGGAGUGCUGGAGAGGUAAGCAGAAUUCCUGGUGUAGCGGUGAAAUGCGUAGAUAUCAGGAGGAACACCGGUGGCGAAGGCGGCUUACUGGACAGUGACUGACGUUGAGGCUCGAAAGCGUGGGGAGCGAACAGG